rnacentral:rRNA from 1 species
AUUGAACGCUGGCGGCAGGCCUAACACAUGCAAGUCGAACGAGUGGCGGACGGGCGAGCAAUGUCUGGGAAACUGCCUGAUGGAGGGGGAUAACUACUGGAAACGGUAGCUAAUACCGCAUACCAUAAGAUGUGCCCAGAUGGGAUUAGCUUGUUGGUGGGGUAACUGCUCACCAAGGCGACGAUCCCUAGCUGGGCUGAGAGGAUGACCAGCCACACUGGGACUGAGAGCCGGUCCAGACUCCUACGGGAGGCAGCAGUAGGGAAUCUUUCACCAUGGGCGCAAGCCUUAUGCAGCCCAGCCGCGUGUAUGAAGAAGGCCUUCGGGUUGUAAAGUACUUUCAGCGGAGAGGCGUUACCUGCAGAAAAAGCCCCGGCUAACUCCGUGCCAGCAGCCGCGGUAAUAC